rnacentral:rRNA from 1 species
GACGAACGCUGGCGGCGUGCUUAACACAUGCAAGUCGAACGGAAAGGCCCUGCCUUUGUGGGGUGCUCGAGUGGCGAACGGGUGAGUAACACGUGAGUAACCUGCCCUUGACUUUGGGAUAACUUCAGGAAACUGGGGCUAAUACCGGAUAGGAGCUCCUGCUGCAUGGUGGGGGUUGGAAAGUUUCGGCGGUUGGGGAUGGACUCGCGGCUUAUCAGCUUGUUGGUGGGGUAGUGGCUUACCAAGGCUUUGACGGGUAGCCGGCCUGAGAGGGUGACCGGCCACAUUGGGACUGAGAUACGGACCAGACUCCUACGGGAGGCAGGAGGGGGGAAUAGUGCACAAUGGGCGGAAGCCUGAUGCAGCAACGCCGCGUGCGGGAUGACGGCCUUCGGGUUGUAGACCGCUUUCGCCUGUGACGAAGCGUGAGUGACGGUAAUGUGUAAAGAAGCACCGGCUAACUACGUG